GAUGAAGAACGUAGCGAAAUGCGAUAAGUAAUGUGAAUUGCAGAAUUCAGUGAAUCAUCGAAUCUUUGAACGCACAUUGCGCCCCCCAGUAUUCUGGCGGGCAUGCCUGUUCGAGCGUCAUUUCAACCAUCAAGCCCUGCUUGUGUUGGGGUCCUGCGGCUGCCCGCAGGCCCUGAAAACCAGUGGCGGGCUCGCUAGUCACACCGAGCGCAGUAGCACAUCUCGCUCAGGGCGUGCGGCGGGCUCCAGCCGUUAAAGCACCCACCUUUCGCAAGGUCGACCUCGGAUCAGGUAGGAAUACCCGCUGAACUUAAGCAUAUCAAUAAGCGGAGGA
rnacentral:misc_RNA from 1 species